GUAUGCAAGCCUCACAAUCCAUUCUCCUGCUGCACUCGCCUCGCCAGCCUGGCCCCAUUCCGUUCCUAGCACAUGUCCUUGCACACCUUACGAUCAUCCAACUUACAGCCUUUGGAAACGCGGGCAGCUGCUUCACAAGGACCCCCCUCGUUUCUAACUCUAAAAAGGUAACCGCUUAGGUAAAAAAUGAUACUGCCGUACAGUCUCUAUAGGGAAGAAGGCCAAUGAUGCCGUACAGUCUCUAUAGGGAAGAAGGCCAAUGAUGCCGUACAGUCUCUAUAGGGAAGAAGGCCAAUGAACAAGGCCCUCAAGUCGUACGGCCUAAAGGGAAAUCUAUCCGUCGCUGGCUCUACCUGCUAAGCGGAAUCUGCAACAAUUUCUUUUAAGUAUAUGACAGCAAGUUUAAGCAUAUUGAUCUUUCGCCUUGUAGCGUGCUUGAUGCUGUGUGGUAAAGCACUGUGUUCCGCGUCUGCGUCCAUUUUGCCUGCCAAAAGUGGUGAACCAACUUAAUCAAAUGCAAAUUUACAAUGCCAUAAAAACGAAAAUGUAGGUAGUGCUGUUACGCACUUUUCGGCGGCGGCAAGAUUUCGCACGGCAUCAUCGCACGACCGAUCUGCGUCGCUGUUCAGCCAGUAUUUAGCCCAGUGCAUAAAUAUCAAAUACUGUGUAUUACAUAUGACUUCUUCUUUUCACAAUUUGUAGGGUUAGUUUGGCUUCUUUUCCUUCGCCGUUAUCGUUGUGAUAGACUGAUCCUUGAGUCAAUACAUUCAUUAAAGCCUUGGACUGCUAGUGAAUAUAAAGCUAGUAAAUGUUGUCAUUGUCGGUACAAUCGCUGACGUUCAGCAUUGUGGUCCUGCUCGCCAUGGCCACGACACACUAUGACGACGGGUGAUCGCCUUAAGUCCGCGUUAGUUCGCGUUAGUUCGCGUAACGGUGCGAAUCUUAGCGUUAGGUGCGAAUGAGCAUGUUUUUGUAACGCAAAGAGCUAACGCACAACGGCUAUGAAAAAGCGGAAAUCGGCCCUACUGGCUAAAAUUUUUAAAUUUUAUAAUUUUCAGAUUGUAAAGGUUCAUUUGGAAAUAAACUUGCGUCGUUUUGGUCGACUUGAGCAAUUCAUCCGUGCUUAUGUUGAAACGCGAAGCAUACGCGCAUGUGUAGCAAGGCGAUACGCAUGCGAUUCCAUAUUGCGAUUCGUGCGUGUGGGGAGACAAUGCGUAAAGCAAUACGCGUCCAAUCGCACAUCAAACGCAUACAGUCCGCAAGGCUAUUCACAUGCGAAUACAUGUUGCGUUUCAUGCGUAUGAAGGCUGAUUGCGUCAAGUUUACUGCGGCCUAACACACCAAACACACACCAAACACACACCAAACACACACGAUUUACUUUGAUUAAUCGCAUGACAUAACAAUUCACAUGCGAUGUUUUAUGUGUUGGUCGCAUACUCAGUUCGUUAACCUUCACGCAGUCUCAUAAGANNNNNNNNNNNNNNNNNNNNNNNNNNNNNNNNNNNNNNNNNNNNNNNNNNCUUGCACCCGCUGCCGUGCCCCGUGCCCGCUCUCCAUCUGUCCGGCCAUGUGGCCACGGCAUCCCUUCCUGUCACGCCUCGCCACUCCAUGCCUCCACUUCCGUCCCGACAUCCCGCCAACAUCACAUCCGCCCUCCCUCCCUCCCAACAUCUGCAGCAUACUUGUACAACAUCACGGCAGCAAUACACGAAGGCGACAUGCCGGACCGUGCGACCGCGACGCAUGCGGCGGUCAUGCAAUUGUGGAUCGCGGCUGCCGGCAGCCUGCGAGCAGAUACCGCCAUAGAGCUCAUUUAUGACUAUGGCAUGGACGCGGGCACCGUCCUCAAGACGGACCAGGAGUUCGCGCGCUCGGUGCUGACGGCCGCGCAGCAGGCGCGAGCGUCGGGCGCCCUCCUGACCACAACCACGCCAGCCAAGCGAGCCGCAAGCAGCCCCGCCGAGCCAGAUUCAAGUGCCUCCCCCCGCACGUGACUGUAUACCAUCACGUGCGCUCCCACCGGCAGAGUGUAUGUCGGCCAGUCACAGGACCCUCAACGCCGCUUCCAGGCUCAUGCCCGCAACCCACCCAGCCGGAUGAAGGAGGACGCCAGCCGCUACCAACCCUUCCAUGACCACUUCUCGCUCACGCGCCUCAUGUCCACCGCCAAUCCUGCACUGGCCCAACGGAUGGAGGCCUUCUACAUCGCGCAGUUCAAGGCUCGGGGGCCAGGCGGCUACAAUGUGCUGUGCGGGCCGCCUUCCGCCAGCCCGGCCUUCUACGCGAUGAGGCGGCAACGCGCGGGCAGCGCACACACGCCCACCGCCGUCACGGUCCAAGACAAUGACGAUGACGCCCCAGACACGCUCGCCUAGCCCUCACAGCACCUACACGCCUCACGCUUGACGGAGUGGGUCCCGCGUAUUCAGCGCGAGGCUUCCCCACCUUGACCAGUGCUGUUUCAUUAGGGCACGAUCGCCCUUGGGCCGUCAUUCACGGUGCAUACUUGUCCGACCUUAACUCGUGUGUGAACGGAAGCUGCUGCCCUUACGGACGGCAGCGCGUGGGAUGGUCUAUUGCGUGAGGUUUGAGGAUAGGGGGGGGCUCCUUGCGCUCCAUCGCAUGUCCGCUCUUCGAGUGCUCGGGGGGAACUUGGCAGCGUGUAAAACACCCAUCAUGUUCACUGUUCUGGCGUGGCCAUCCACGGGCCACAUCGAUCUUCACUCUAACACUUCUCCUUUAUUCCUCCUUCUUAGCACGGAAACCACGUCACGUGUCCUGUGCGCGCGCUGUUGCUGUGCUGCUGUUCUUGGUCUUCUGGUUGUGGUUCCUGUGCUUCUAGCAAACUCGCGCCAGUGCUGUUUCAUUUGGGCACGAUCGCCCUUAGGCCUUCGUUCACGGUGCAUACAUGUCCGACCUUAACCCGUGUGUGAACGGCAGCUGCUGCCCUUACGGACGGCAGCGCUUGGUAUGGACUAUUGCGUGAGGUUUGAGGGAUAGCGGGGGGGCCCGUUGCGCUGCUUUGUAUGUCCGCUCUUGGAGUGCUCGGAAGCAAAUUGGCAGCGUGCAAAGCACCCAUCAUGUUGCCUGUCGUGGCAUGGACAUCCGCGCGCAACAAGGAUCGCCACUCUAGGACUACUCCUUUGUUCCUCCUUCAUUGCACAGACACGACGCGACGUGUCCUGUGCGCGCGCUGUUGCUGUGCUGCUGUUCUUCUUCUUCUGGUUGUGGUUCCUGUGCUUCUAGCAAACUUGCGCCCGCAACGACAUCUUGCAAUGUACUUGCAGUUUGCCGUGCGCCAAUCGCCAUGUAAGCCUCGUAUGCAAGCCUCACAAUUCAUUCUCCUGCUGCACUCGCCUCGCCAGCCUGGCCCCAUUCCGUUCCUAGCACAUGUCCUUGCACACCUUACGAUCAUCCAACUUACAGCCUUUGGAAACGCGGGCAGCUGCUUCACAAGGACCCCCCUCGUUUAAGCAGCCCCUCGCACAAAUGUGUCCGGUCGUACUCUGCCGAAUAGACCCUCCGUACAUCGUCCCCAAAGCCAGGAGCGAAUUUUGCCUCGCGGAUGCGCACGUGCGUUUCGAAAAAUGCGCCUGU
rnacentral:lncRNA from 1 species